UGGGCGCAAGCCUGAUCCAGCCAUGCCGCGUGUGUGAUGAAGGCCCUAGGGUUGUAAAGCACUUUCAACGGUGAAGAUAAUGACGGUAACCGUAGAAGAAGCCCCGGCUAACUUCGUGCCAGCAGCCGCGGUAAUACG
rnacentral:rRNA from 1 species